UGGGGAAUAUUGGACAAUGGGCGAAAGCCUGAUCCAGCCAUGCCGCGUGUGUGAAGAAGGCCUUAUGGUUGUAAAGCACUUUAAGCGAGGAGGAGGGUACUGGUAUUAAUACUACCAGGUACUGGACGUUACUCGCAGAAUAAGCACCGGCUAACUCUGUGCCAGCAGCCGCGGUAAUACAGAGGGUGCGAGCGUUAAUCGGAUUUACUGGGCGUAAAGCGUGCGUAGGCGGCUAAUUGAGUCGGAUGUGAAAUCCCCGAGCUUAACUUGGGAAUUGCAUUCGAUACUGGUUAGCUAGAGUGUGGGAGAGGAUGGUAGAAUUCCAGGUGUAGCGGUGAAAUGCGUAGAGAUCUGGAGGAAUACCGAUGGCGAAGGCAGCCAUCUGGCCUAACACUGACGCUGAGGUACGAAAGCAUGGGGAGCAAACAGG
rnacentral:rRNA from 1 species